rnacentral:rRNA from 1 species
AACGAACGCUGGCGGCAGGCUUAACACAUGCAAGUCGAGCGCCCCGCAAGGGGAGCGGCAGACGGGUGAGUAACGCGUGGGAAUCUACCCAUCUCUACGGAAUAACGCAUGGAAACGUGUGCUAAUACCGUAUAUGUCCUUCGGGAGAAAGAUUUAUCGGAGAUGGAUGAGCCCGCGUUGGCUUAGCUAGUUGGUGGGGUAAAGGCCUACCAAGGCGACGAUCCAUAGCUGGUCUGAGAGGAUGAUCAGCCACACUGGGACUGAGACACGGCCCAGACUCCUACGGGAGGCAGCAGUGGGGAAUAUUGGACAAUGGGCGCAAGCCUGAUCCAGCCAUGCCGCGUGAGUGAUGAAGGCCCUAGGGUUGUAAAGCUCUUUCACCGGUGAAGAUAAUGACGGUAACCGGAGAAGAAGCCCCGGCUAACUUCGUGCCAGCAGCCGCCGCAGUAA